rnacentral:lncRNA from 1 species
AUUACUGUCAAGCAAUUGAUAGAAAAGUGAAUAAUUAUGAAGAUAUCCAAGGCAAUGAUUGUGCAUAUAGGCAUCACGUCUGUGUCAAGUAGACCAAAACGAUUCUGCACCUACUACUAUUAGUCCACACAUCGACCUACUCCUGCCUACAACUAAAGUAUUAAGUUCAUGAAGAAUAGAGUAACGCAUUAGGUAAGAUGACAUGAUGUAGAGGGAUAAACUCAAGAAAUAUUAUUAAAACCCCAUCUUUUUAUCCUCGAUGGCAAUAACGCAAUAUGUGCCUCGCUACCCCUACUUUGUCACUAGGUGAGGACACCGCAAGAUUGAACCCAAAACUAAGCACUUCUCCCAUUGCAAGAAUUACCAAUCUAGUUGGCCAAACCAAACCAAUAACUCGAAGAGACUUGCUAAGAUAUGAAAUCAUGCAUAUAAGAAUUCAGAGAAGAUUCAAAUAAUAUUCAUAGAUAAUUAGAACAUAAACCCACAAUUCAUCGGAUCUCGACAAACACACCGCAAAAGAGUAUUACAUCGGAUAGAUCUCCAUGAAGAUCAUGAAGAACAUGGUAUUGAAGAACAAAGAGAGAGAUGAAGCCAUCUAGCUACUAGCUAUGGACCCGUAGGUCUGUGGUGAACUAUUCACACAUCAUCGAAGGGGCAAUGGAUUUGAUGUAGAUGCCCUCCGUGAUCAAUUCCCUCUCCGGCAGAUUACCGAAAAAGGCUCCCAGAUUGGAUCUCACGGGAAAACAGGCUCUUAGUGGUGGAAAAGUAUUUUUUUUGUCUCCUUUCGGCAAUGGGGGGAUAUUUGGGAAUUUACAGGACGAAGAUUAGGGCUAGGAAACCUGCAGGGGAGCCAUAAUCCAGGGGGCUCCCCCCUAGGGCGCACCCUGCGGGCUUGUCGUCUCUCGACAGGUGUCCUGCCCCCUUCUCCACGUUUGGCAGGUUUCUUCUGGUCCAAGAAAAAUCAUUCCAAAUAUUUUAUUCCGUUUGGACUCCGUUUAAUAUUCCUUAUCUGCAAUACUCAAAAACAUAGAAAAAACAGAAACUGACACUAGGCUCUAGAUUAAUAGGUUAGUCCCAAAAAUAAUAUAAAAUAGCAUAUUAAUGCAUAUAAAAUAUCCAAAACACAUAAUAUAAUCUCAUGGAACAUUAAAAAUUAUAUAUAUGUUGGAGACGUAUCAACUGCUAUUGUUCAUUCACUAGUUUUGCUUGUGUUUGGUGGUUUGAGCAUUGUAGAAUACAUCAUGCUAAUAUUCCAACUACUUGGGCUGCUUUGAAAACUGCUAUGUGUACUCGUUGGGUUCCACCAUAUUAUCAACGUGAAUUACUUAAAAAAUUGCAGCGUUUAAGACAAGGAAAAAAUCAUGUGGAAGAAUAUUAUUAGGAAUUAGAAACUGGCAUGAUUAGAUGUGGUAUUGUGAGGACACUGAUGCUAUGCUUGCACGUUUUAUGUGUGGAUUAAAUAGAGAUAUUCAGACUAUUUUAGAGUAUAGAGAGUAUAACACUAUCACUUGUUUAUUCCAUCUUGCUUGCAAAGCUGAACGUGAAGUGCAGGAUCAACAUGCAUUGGCCAGAACUAAUUUUUCUACAGGUCGCACUUUAUCAUGGACGCCACAAACCUCAUCUGCUUCCACACAUUCUACUAUGGCACCACCUAUUUGAGCCACAAACUCCAGCUGAGAUAGCAGGCAACACGCACCUGCCCCACCCUCCACCAAGAGAACACCUUCCGGGCCGGCAUAGAGCUCUUCUUCGUCCAUGGCAUCCACAGGGAAAACACAUGAGGUUAUGUGUUGUUGUUUCAAGGGUGGAAGUCAUUAUGUGAGAGAGUGCCCAUCCAAGCAUGUGAUGAUUGUUACUAAGGAUGGUGGAUAUGACUCCACUGCAAGGUUUGACACUAAUCCGAAUAACUCUAAGGAGUAAAGCGGAUUCGUAUAGUGGAGCAGUCAUUUGGAAUAGUUCCAAAUGGUGCGUGGUGGCAGCAUGUAUAGGAUGACAUAGAGAUUUGUAAAGCACACACGAAUCUGAAAGGUUCAGACCCAUUGACUAAAAACCUCUCUCGCAAGCAAGAUAUGAUCGAACACCAUAACUGUAUGGGUGUUAGGUUCAUUACAAUCACAUAGUGAUGUGAACUAGAUUAUUGACUCUAGUGCAAGUGGGAGACUAUUGGAAAUAUGCCCUAGAGGCAAUAAUAAAUUAGUUAUUAUUAUAUUUCUUUGUUCAUGAUAAUCGUUUAUUAUCCAUGCUAUAAUUGUAUUGAUUGGAAACACAAAUACAUGUGUGGAUACAUAGACAAAACACUGUCCCUAGUAAUCCUCUAGUUGACUAGCUCGUUGAUCAAAGAUGGUCAAGGUUUCCUGAACAUAGACAAGUGUUGUCACUUGAUAACGGGAUCACAUCAUUGGGAGAAUGAUGUGAUGGACACUACCCAAACUAUAAACAUAGUAUAUGAUCAUGUCAGUUUAUUGCUACUGUUUUCUGCAUGUCAAUGUAUCUGUUCCUAUGACCAUGAGAUCAUGCAACUCUCGGACACCGGAGGAAUACCUUGUGUGUAUAAACAUCGCAACGCAACUGGGUGACUGUAAAGGUGCUCUACAGGUAUCUCUAAAGGUGUCUGUUGGGUUGGCAUGGAUCAAGAAUGGGAUUUGUCACUCCGUGUGACGGAGAGGUAUCUCGGGGCCCACUCGGUAAUACAACAUCACAACAAGCCUUGCAAGCAAUGUGACUAAGGAGUUAGUUACGGGAUCUUGUAUUACAGAGCGAGUAAGUAGACUUGCCGGUAAUGAGAUUGAACUAGGUAUGGUGCUACCGACGAUCGAAUCUUGGACAAGUAACUUACUGAAGGACAAAGGGAAUAGUAUACGGGAUUAUAUGAAUCCUUGACAUAGAGUUUCAACCGAUAGAGAUCUUCAUAGAAUAUGUAGGAGCCAAUAUGGACAUCCAGGUCCCGUUGUUUGUUAUUGACCAGAGAGAGUCUCGGGUCAUGUCUGCAUAGUUCUCGAACACGCAGGGUCUGCACGCUUAAGGUUCGGUGACAUUUCGGUAUAGUUGAGUUAUAUGUGUUGCUGACCGAAGUUUUGUUCGGAGUCCCGGAUGAGAUCCCGGACAUCAUGAGGAGUUCUGCAAUGGUCCGGAAACAAAGAUUGAUAUAUAGGAAGUUGGUAUUUGGAUUCCGGAAGGUUUUCGGGCAUUCCGGUAGUGUACCGGGAGUGACGAAUGGGUUCCGGGGUCCCACUGGGUGGGCCCACCACGCCCCCAAGGGGUCCACAUGGGUUUAUUGGAUGCGCAAUAAGGCAUAAUGGGCUGAUAAAGUCAUCCAAGGAAAGCCCAUGAGGAAAAAGUGGAAAAUCCAAAAGAGGUGGGAAAUUAAGGAAGGAGUCCUAAUCCAAGUGGAGUUGGAGGAGAACUCCUCCCGCCUCCACUUCGGCCGAUCCAAGGGAGCCUCCAUUGUGGCGCCAAGGCUACCUCAUCCCUCCUCCUAUAUUUACUACAAGUUUAGGGCUUUUUGAGACACAAAUUUGCCACGUGCAUCCCUAAACCUCUUCUUCGUAGUUCUUCCUCUAGAUCGGUUUUCUGCGGAGCUCGGGCGGAGCCCUGCAGGAAUAGAUCACCACCACCACCGGAGCGUCGUCGCACUUCCGGGGAACUCAUCUACAUCCCCGUCUCUCUUACUGGAUCAAGAAGGCGGAGAUCGUCAUCGAGCUGUAUGUGUGCGGAACGCGGAGGUGUCGUCCGUUCGGCACUUGAUUGGGACGGAUCACGAGACGGUUCGUGGGACAGAUCGUGGGACGUUUCGUGAGACGGAUCGUGAAGAUGUACCACGACAUCAACCACAUUUAUUAACGCUUCUUCUUAGCGAUCUACAAGGGCAUGUGGAUCCAAUCUCCUUCUCGUAGAUGAUCAUCACCAUGAUAGGUCUUCUUGUGCGUAGGAAUUUUUUUGUUUCCCAUGCAACGUUCCCGAACACCACCUUCUAUGGCCAAAAACAGAGGAGAGAGGUGCAGGGGCGAGGAUAUAUAUAUGCAUCUUUUUAGUCAUGAUUGGUGUCUAAAACCGGGACUGAAGACAAACCUAUAGUCCCAGUUGGAGACACCAACCGAGACUAAAGGGGUUGCGCCAGGAGCGAAGGCCUUUAGUCCCGAUUGGUGUCUAGAACCGAGACUAAAGGUCCUAGUCGAACUGGGACUGAUGCGUGCCUAGGACCGGCCGGCGUCCUAGCCACUCGAACUGGGAAUUAUGCUCACAUUACUCCUGGUUCGUAACAAGACCGGGACAAAUUAAUGCUAUGAUAUGGCCAGAACCAAAGUCAUGUUUUCUACUAGUGACAUUCUCAAUUUAAAUGUACUAAUGUGUAUUUAUAACAUUCUAUAUAAAUUAGACAUAAAGUUUGAUGGGUUCAUUUAUAAGAAUCAAUGUAUUUCUAUUAUUUCAUAAAACUAAAUAUUUUGAAGAAAAAAGUGGACUUAUUAACUUAUAUUAACCUUUUCAGAAUGUUACAAAAGUUUGACAUAUAUGUUGCCCACUACACUAGUUGUCACCGUGCGACUGUUGGACCCCUCAAACCUCGAAGGUUGCCGCGAAAGACAAAUUCUGAUUCCAAGUAAUGGAUAGUUUCAUAUCCUUUGGGUUAACCGGAUUCCAAAUCCAAAGGUUAGGGAAAGCACACGAUCGCAUUCUCCCGUUUCCCUUGCCAUGAUGUGCGUGGCCUACUUGAGCAUGGCUUUCUAUGUUGGUUGAUUUGCAUGAUUCGCUGUCUCUCAUAGCGCUAGCAGUUCCUGCAACGACCUACCCUUCCUGUCGAGAUUCAUGGCAGUGCCUGUGUGAGAGCGUAAUGGAGGCAACACUGCAGGAAUCGGGGAAUUUUCCAUCUGCGUGAUCUUUGUCAUCUGCUGGCUGAUGGCAAAGAGACUCUUUGCCGUCUGUUUGCUGAUGGCAAAGAGACUCUUUGCCAUCAUCUUCGGAAAACAGACGACAAAGAACAUGCUAAUGGAAAAGAUACUCUUUGCCAUCAGUGCAUUCUUUGUCGUCUGUUGGCGAACGGCAAAAAUGGACCGGGCAGAUGGCAAAGAAAUAGCUAAUGGCAAAGAUCGUCCACACACACGGCAAAGAGUCACCACAGCUGGAGCCAUCACCUUUGCCAUCUUCGGCCUCUUUGCCGUCCGCCCACACCUUCUUUGCCGUUUGCCUGAUCCCUGGGCGGACGACAAAGGGGAUGGCGUCCCACCUCCCCACUAAUGGCGCCCCACCUAGGUCACCCCGAUCCCCACUCUCUCUCUCUCUCUCUCACUCACUAUCCCCCGGUCCCCACCCCGCACCGCCCCCACCCGGCGCAGCCCCCCACCCGGCGGCUUCCCCAUCCGCCGAGCCGCCCCACCACCGCGAUGCCCCCACCCCGCACAGCCCCCUAUGUCGGCCCCCUCCCUCCACCGCCCCCUUCCCCCGCCGACCCCCUCCCCGCACCGCCCCCUCCCCCACGUCGGCCCUCUCCCUGUGCNNNNNNNNNNNNNNNNNNNNNNNNNNNNNNNNNNNNNNNNNNNNNNNNNNNNNNNNNNNNNNNNNNNNNNNNNNNNNNNNNNNNNNNNNNNNNNNNNNNNUAUAUAUAUAUAUAUAUAUAUAUUUCUUGUGUGUUUGAUAGCUAGUCAAGAUGAGUGAUCGUGCGUGGAUGUACACCAGUCACACUAGUCAGAAAGAGAUGACUAAAGAAUAGUUUACAACAACCAAGGAGUUUGUGAAUGCUGCAUUUACAAAGGCUAGACAACAAACUGGUGCCCCUGUCCUAGGUGCAAUAACUAUAAAAAGAGGACAGAGGCUAUAAUGGUUAAACACCUGUAGAUGAGGGGUUUUACGUGUGAUUAUACAGUGUGGACAUUUCAUGACGAGUCUGCCCAACGCACCAGAGCUGAGGUGGUUCGUCGUUGCACCGACAAGCAUGGUACCGAGAUCGAAGACAUGGUGCAAGACUUUGAUGAUGCUUGGGAUUUGGAUGAUGAGAUGGAGGAAUCUAUAAAGGCCUUCUAUGAAAUGUUGGAGUCUUCAAAACAUCCUCUCCACGAGCACACUCAGCUUUGUCAGCUCGAUGCGAUUGCACAAGUAAUGGCUCUGAAGGCUCAAUUAAACUUGGGAAGAGAAUGCAUGCGAUGAUGACACUAUUUGGAUGCUUUUUACCCAAAGGCCAUGUCAUGCCUGCAAACCUGUACCAGUCGGACAAAAUACUUCGUGUACUUAAGAUGCCCUAUGAGAAGAUACAUUCUUGUGAGAAAGGAUGUGCCUUAUUUAGGCUUGAGUAUGCGGACUUGAACUAUUGUCCCAUUUGCAAGUCUUAUAGGUAUGUUGUGGUAGACAAUGGUAUGGGUGAGAAGAUCCAGACCCAAAUCCUAGUUAAUGUUCUUAGGUAUAUGACAAUCAUACCAAGGCUUCAACGUCUUUUCAUGUUCAAAGAGGCGGCCAAACUGAUGACAAGGCACAAAUUGGGCAAAAAUCCGAACUAGAUGCAGAUGAGAAUAAGAAGUUGGUACACGCAUUGGAUGCUUUUGCAUGGAAGCACUUCGAUGCAUUACAUCUGGAUAAAGCGGCAGAUCCAAGGCAUACUCGAGUCCGCGUCACCACAGAUGGGUUCAAUCCCUUUGGUAUGACGGAAAACCAAUACAGUAAUUGGCAUGUAUUUGUCAUUCCACUCACCCCCGGUCAGAUUAUGCAUAGAAAGAACAUAUUCCUGACGUUGAUAAUUCCAGGGCCCAACUAUUUGGGGAAGAAUAUGAAUGUGUACAUGCAGCCGCUUAAGGAUGAAUUGCAGGAAGCUUGGGAUAAUGGGUUCAAGACAUAUGACAUCGCUAGAAAAGAAAACUUCAAAAUGCAUGUCUAGUACAUGUACUUGAUGCAUGACUUGUCGGUGUAUGCGCCAUUCUCUUGCUGGUGUGUGCAUGGCAGGUUCCCAUGCCCCACAUGCAAGGCAGAUCUUCAGUUUCAUUGGUUGCAGGCGGGUCGAAAGUACUCUUGCUUUGACUUCCAUAGAAAGUUCCUGGAUCCUCGCUAUCAGUUCAGAUAAGACAAGAAGAACUUUAGUAAAGGAAAAGUGGUCAAAAAACUCGGCACCACCUGCAUUGACAGGCCAACAGAUCCUGGAUCGGUUAAACUCUCUCGAGCGUGAUCCAGAGCGUCUAGGGUAUUUCAAGGGGUAUAAUUCACAACACGCCUGGACUCACAAGACAUGCUUGUGGGAUCUGCCUUACUUCAAAGACUUCCUUCUUCCACACAACAUCGACAUGAUGCACACUGAAAAGAAUAUCGUAGAGGCCAUUUUUGGUACAUUGUUUGGCAUAGAGGGGAAGUCAAAGGAUAAUCCUAAGGCUAGAGAUAGUUAAGAGACUCUAUGUCAUAGACCGUUACAAAACAUGCGACAAUCGAAAGGAAAGCAAAACUGGUCGAAGCCAAAGGUCUGGUACAAUCUUGGAAGGUCAGCUAUGAGGGAAAUUAUCUUGUAGGUCAAAAUGCACUUGAUGUUCCUCGAUGGGUCAGCGAAUCUAAAGAGGGGAGCGAGUCCUUUAAAAAUUGAAAAUAUUUGGUCUCAAGAGUCAUGAUUGGCACAUAUGGCUUGAGCGGGUAAUGAUGGUGAUGUUACGUGGCUUUAUUCCCGAGGAUGAAUGUCUAGUACUGGCAGAGCUGAGCUAUUUCUUUCGUGUUCUUUGUGCGAAAGAACUAUAGCGUGUGUGGUAGAUGACAUCGAGGAGUUGGCGCCAGAGUUUCUCUGCAAUUUAGAGAAGAUAUUUCCACCUAGCUUCUUUAAUCCAAUGCAACAUUUGAUUUUACAUCUCCCGACCGAGGCAAGAUUGGGUGGGCCCCUGCAAAAUCGUUGGUGCUUUGCAACCAAGAGGAUGCAGAAGACGCUUCAAGAAAAAUGUAACAAUAAAUGUAGAAUGAAGCAUCGAUGGUCGAGACAUUCAUUACUGAGGAGGUGGCAAACUUCAUGAUAGCACACUACGAAGCUAGAAAUCGUCAUUUGCAUAAUCCGAAGCCUCGGUACAAUGAUGGCGACCCUAGAAAAGGAGGAUCCAACCUUAGCUUACUCAAAGGGAAGCUCGCAUCAGCUGGUGCUUCGAAACCAAUAAUGUUGGAUGUCGAAGAAUGGCUGGCCAUUUCCUUGUAUAUCUUCAACAACCUAACAGAAGUGCGGCCGUACAUCGAGUAAGUUCUCGGUACAUUUUUUCGCAACUUCUCAUUCCUUUGAACUGAUCUUAUUCCUAGAUACCUGAUACAGUCAAUACGUCGCCAAAUUCUCGGAAGGAGCGGUGAUCCAAAAUGAUUGCGUCGAAGAGUAUGAGAUUCUGGCAAAGCAUGGAGGCGGCUACCCCGGUUUCAUCUCUUGGUUCAAACAAACGGUAAUUACCAAUGAUGGACCAAUUCAUUUCUUGGUCUAAUUUGUGGUUAAUGCAACAAUCAUUUCAUAUUUAACAUGUAGGAUAAUUCAGAGUCUAUGGAUGCCGAAUUGUGACAAGCCACUAAUGGUUUUGACUAUAAGGUCCGUUCAUUUGAGAAAUACAACAUCAACGAGUAUCACUUUCGUACCUUUGGCAAAGAGCUAUCUAUGCCCGACCGGAAAUCUACAAAUUGUGGCGUCUCUCCUAUCGACAAAGGAGGUACCGAGUAUUAUGGAAGAGUUGAAGCAAUUUAUGAACUUCAAUUCUAUGGUGAAAACCCACCGAACGUCGUAGUCUUGAAAUGUUAUUGGUUCCCGCCGAAGGAGACUAGAAGGACUCAUGAACAUAUAGGGCUAGUCGAAAUCAAUCAAAGCACCCAUUUAGAUGUUCCCAAUGUCUAUAUUACAGCUCAACAGGCGACCCAAGUUUUCAAUCUAUUGUGGGCCUACCAAAGCAAUUAGAAUCUGAAUGGUUGGGAUGUUGUUUAUGAAGUGUCGCCGCAUGCUAGACCACCUCCCCCAAAUGAAGAGGAUUAUGAACCUCAAAUUAACCCAGACACAUAUGACGGAGAAUUCUUCAAAGAAACAAUUUUUCCAAGAAAUGUUUCUAGAAUCGCUCUACUUCAUCCCACAACAUGGAAGUAGACAUCAAUAGUGAAUCCGACCUCACCCCUGAGCCGGAACCAGCAGAGCCGGAACUAGAAGAGGUUACUGCCACGGAUGGCCUGUUAAUGCUUGACCGAUUACAGAAAGGGCUUCCAUGUGUUGAUGUCAGUGAACCUGAUGAGCACGUCAUUUAUGACGAAAUGCGUGAUAGUGAUGAUGAUGAUGAUGCAUGUAUUGAUCCCGGAGCAUAUAUAGACGAUCCAGACUAUUAUUAGUUUGUAUGCAUCCCAACUUUUUAUUCAUGUCAGGUAUUCAAUUUUUUUAUGUUGUACUAAUUUCUUUUACUCUUUGUCAUGGAAGGUGUUGAAAGAUGGUGGGCGUGGGUCCAGAUCGCUCGGGGGGUACUUCUUCCUCGGCGGCCCGCUGGAGGGGUCCUUCCAUUCCACCCCUAUCUCAUUGGAGAGCGUUGGAAGAUAGUCUGGGGACUCCCACGGGUGCUUCUUCAUCGGCGUCGUUGUCCACCAGGAGAGGAGGUCGGGUAGGGAAGAAGGCAAAGGGUACAGUACAUGGCUGUGAGAGAAGUAGACGGACCGCUAUGUCAUCCUCACCGCCACCCCAGCUCAUUCACCCGAGCACAGGACUACAAGGGUGGACCCAUUUGAGGUGGAGGCUAUGGGGACUCCACACCAGGAGCCUCGGGUCGACGGGCCUUCAUCCCAUGAGACUUCGGUUCCAGAGGCUUCGGCACACGAGACUCUUAUACCAGGUGCUACGUCCUAGGAGACUCCCGCCCCAGAGGCUUCGUCCGGAUGGUGUCGUGGUUUUGUCAUGGCAGAUGUCCUCGUGAAAGGACUUAGAGAUGGAGCCAUCGCACCUUGGUGGCGACUCAAAGGAGUUAAGCGGAAGCGAGACUCGGGUUUACCCAGGUUCGUCCCCUCCGAUGGAGGUAAAAGCCUACGUCCUACUUUGUGUAUAUUGAUGGUGGAAUUGAUUACAAGGGUGCGUAACUCGCUUGACCUAGCUCUCGAUGGAUUGUAACUUAAGUCUAUCAACCCUAGAGACUCGCCUUUAUAUACAGGUCGAAGCCCUAGGCUUACAAGAGUCCAAAUCAUAUCACAAGUCGUGACCUGACAUAUCUCUAAGCCGUCGUGCCUCUCAAGUAAGGAAUUUGAACGGCGAGCCUUCUUCUUCUUGGGCCCUGAGUCAUCGUCUGGGCCCUUGGGCUUGGCCGGAUCUUCUUUGAAGAACACUUCAUGCCUUCCAUAUUCCGGGCCUAAGCCCAUCUUCGGGUCACAAGUGUUGAAUCACCAUGAGCCUGACUCGGCCCAAUAGGGCGGGUCAGGCAACGGAUAAUAUUCCCAACAUUAGGCCCCAGAUUGACUUGAAUUUAUUCACGCCAAUAUACCUUCACACUUGACCAUGGCGACUCACAUAUGAUCUUUGACCUUUCUUCUUAAAGAAUGACAAGCCGCCAAUCUUCGUGCUCUGCCUGAAUCGCUAGGUCUUUUUACGAGUGAUGUCAUCUCCAACGAAUCUUUUGACUUAUCAUGCCCUCCCGAAAAUCUAGGCACCAUCAUUUCCUAUUUUUAAUGCGCCCCCUCGGCUCCCGCGCUUGCCGUUUCAAUGCCAUCCGUGGGUCCUUUAAUAGUCGCGAAGGGAGGGGUCCUUCGCCUUCGUCUACAUCACCACUCUGCCUCUUCUUCUUCGAGCCCGUGCUGCAAACACUCCGCCAUUGCAGAGCUCCGCACUUCGGAUCCACCGCCUCUUGGAUUGACCGAGCACAACCUCGACUUGGAUCUCCACGGUUACCUCUGCCGCCGUCUGCAUUUAUUCAGGUGAGUCUUUCUCCUCCACUGAUCCGGUUUGCGAAUCUCCGAUGUUCUUAGGCACCACUAGAGUUCUUUGAACCUCUAUUGACUGCACCAUUAACCCCAUAAGUACUGCUUGAAUCCCGAACUUUAAUAAGUGAUUGCGGUAGAUUAGCGAGUAGUCUGUAGAAGAUCUUUGCUCAUUUUACUUUCUUCGCAAGGUCACCUCAUAGAUCGUACAGUUUUCCUGCGUCUUCAGUGUUCCUGGAAUCGUGAAUUAUUUUUCCUUUUAGAACCACCUGUGGAUCUAGAGUUUCUGGCAUCACGUUUGGAAACGUGUUUGUCUCCAAUCCAAAAAAUUGUCUAAGGGAUUUUUUUUUAAAUAUAACCCACCCUUAGGUUGUGGCGAGUCACAACGUGUGUUUAGGUGUCUCCCCAGCCACUUAUUGGUGAGUUAAUACUGUGUAGAUCCUUGAGACCCGCCUACCGCUUUUAUGUAGAUUUCUGUCCCGUCUUUUGAGUUUGUGGCCAUGGGCACCAUCUCCAAAAUUAAUUUGUUGCAAUCAGAGAUCAACGACACCGUUCUUGAAGAAUUUGUAAAGGUGGGAACUCUAGCACCACAGGAAGCAAUCGGCUGGCGACCAGCCUUAGGAGAGCGAUGUCCACAACCCGCCAGUGGGGAAGUGGUGGUAUUUACUGACCACAUCGAGUGGGGCUUCACACCGCCCGACUCAAAAAAUUCAGAGACGCCCUGCACUUUUUUAAUCUCCAUCCCAAGACUUAGGCCCAAACUCCAUCAACAACCUCUGUCAAUUCCAAGUAUUAUGUGACGCCCUGCAAAUGGAGCCUACCGUCCUCCUGUUCACGAAGUUCUUCUACUUGAACCGCCAAACUGAGUUUGCCGACAGCCCCUGCCUAGAACUCGGAGGGGUCAACAUUCAGAGACAACAAGAAUGCGGGUUCCGGCUGCUGCUCUGCCCAGUCACCCCAAAGGUUUGGGGUUGACUUGGUUUUACUUUCGCAACACUUCUCCAACUGUUGGAAAUAUUCCCUAGAGGCAAUGAUAAAAUAGUUAUUAUUAUAUUUCCUAUUUCAAGAUAAUCGUUUAUUAUCCAUGCCAUAAUUGUAUUGAAUGAAAGCAUAGAUACAUGUGUGGAUACAUAGACAAAACAAUGUCCCUAGUAAGCCNNNNNNNNNNNNNNNNNNNNNNNNNNNNNNNNNNNNNNNNNNNNNNNNNNNNNNNNNNNNNNNNNNNNNNNNNNNNNNNNNNNNNNNNNNNNNNNNNNNNNNNNNNNNNNNNNNNNNNNNNNNNNNNNNNNNNNNNNNNNNNNNNNNNNNNNNNNNNNNNNNNNNNNNCGAUCACAUCAUUAGGAGAAUGACGUGAUGGACAAGACCCAAAUUAUAAAUGUAGCAUGUGAUCAGAUCAUUUUGUUGCUAUUGUUUUCUACGUGUCAAGUAUUCAUUCCUAUGACCAUGAGAUCAUGUAUCUCAUUGACACCGGAGGAAUAACUUGUGUGUAUCAAACGUCACAACGUUACUGGGUGACUAUAAAGGUGCUCUAGAGGUAUCUCUGAAGGUGUCCGUUGAGUUAGCAUGGAUCGGGACUGGGAUUUGUCACUCCGUGUGACGGAGAGGUAUCUCAGGGCCCACUCGGUAAUAUAACAUCACAUAUAAGCCUUGCAAGCAAUGUGACUCAAGUGUAAGUCACGGGAUCUUGUAUUACAGAGCGAGUAAAGAGACUUGCCGGUAACGAGAUUGAAAUAGGUAUAGAGGUAACGACGAUCAAAUCUCGGGCAAGUAACAUACCGAAGGACAAAGGGAAUGUUAUACGGGAUUAUAUGAAUCCUUGGCACAAAGGUUCAACCGAUAAGAUCUUCGUAGAAUAUGUAGGAUCCAAUAUGGACAUCCAGGUCCCGCUAUUGGAUAUUGACCGCGGAGUGUCUUUGGUCAAGUCUGCACAGUUCUCGAACCCGCAGGGUCUGCACACUCAAGGUUCAGUGACGUUUUAGUAUAGUUGAGUUAUAUGUGUUGGUGACCGAAGGUUGUUCGGAGUCCCGGAUGAUAUCAAGGAUGUCACGAGGGUUUCCGGAAUGGUAUGGAAACGAAGAUCGAUAUAUAGGAUGGUUUCAUUUGGUCACCAGAAAGAUUUUGGGCAUUACCGGAAGUGUACGGGGAGUGACGAAUGGGUNNNNNNNNNNNNNNNNNNNNNNNNNNNNNNNNNNNNNNNNNNNNNNNNNNNNNNNNNNNNNNNNNNNNNNNNNNNNNNNNNNNNNNNNNNNNNNNNNNNNAUGGGGCACGUUCUGGUGCCUUGUCGGAGGGGGAUUCGGACACGGAAGGCUUCUCCAUCAACACCAUUGCCUCUCCGAUGAUGCGUGAGUAAUUCACCAUAGACAUUCGGGUCCAUAGCUAGUAGCUAGAUGGCUUCUUCUCUCUCUUGGAUCUUCUAUACAAAUUUCUCCAUGAUCUUCAUGGAGAUCUAUCCGAUGUAAUCUUCUUUUGCAGUGUGUUUGUCGAGAUCCGAUGAAUUGUGAAUUUAUGAUCAGAUUAUCUAUGAAUCUUAUUUUAGUUUCUUCUGAUCUCUUAUAUGCAUGAUUUCAUAUCCCUGUAAUUCUCUUCGAGUUGUGGGUUUUGUUUGGCCAACUUGAUCUAUGAUUCUUGCAAUGGGAGAAGUGCUUGGUUUUGGGUUCAUACCGUGUGGUGACCUCACCCACUGACAGAAGGGGUAGCGAGGCACGCAUCUUGUUGUUGCCAUCAAGGGUAAAAAGAUGGGGUUUAUAUCUAUUGCAUGAAUUUAUCCCUCUACAUCAUGUCAUCUUGCUUAAGGCGUUACUCUGUUUGUCAUGAACUCAAUACACUAGAUGCAUGCUGGAUAGCGGUCGAUGUGUGGAGUAAUAGUAGUAGAUGCAGAAAGUAUCGGUUUACUUGUCUCGGACGUGAUGCCUAUAUGUAUGAUCAUUGCCUUAAAUAUUGUCAUGACUUUGCGCGGUUCUAUUAAUUGCUCGACAGUAAUUCGUUCACCCACCGUAAUAUUUGCUAUCUUGAGAGAAGCCUCUAGUGAACACUAUGGCCCCCCGAGUCUACUUCACAUCAUAUUUUCAGCCCUACACUUUUACUUUGUUGCACNNNNNNNNNNUGCCUUUAGAUCUCACCUUGCAAUGAAUAGUGAAGGGAUUGACAACCCCUUUGUAGCGUUGGGUGCAAGUUUGCUGUUUUUGCGCAGGUACAUUGGUGCCUCAUCUUGAUACUCCUACUGGAUUGAUACCUUGGUUCUCAAACUGACGGAAAUACUUACUGCUACUAUGCUGCAUCACCCUUUCCUCUUCAAGGGAAAAAAACCAACGCAAGCUCAAGAGGUAGCAGUGGUGCAUGGGCGAAUGGCAAGCCAUCCACGACAAUGCGAAGGACCGGCGUGCCCAAAUGGUAGGUGUGCCACACCAUCAAGGCAGCACCAACUUAUUUUAGUUUGGACGAAACUGGGUAUGUGGUUUGCUUCAUGAUUCAUGCAAUUCAUUCUUCAUGCUGGCUUGAGCCCUUUAUUAAUACUUUGUUCUCUCUUUUAGGUGCAUCACAACAACAUGGAGGUGCCACAUGUGUACGACCUCUAUGGCAUGGCCCAUACUGCCUCCGAAAAGAAGGUCAAGGCAUUCUCUGAGUCUAACCUCGAUCAUCCUGAGAAGUUCACCAACAUCUCCUCCCACAACAAGCUCGUGAGAUACAAGGAGGCGGGUAAGGCAAGGAAAGGGGAGGACUUUAACCCGAGCCAGGAAUCUUUGGAUCCAGAGUUGGUGAUGAUAUCUGGUGGCGGGAAGCUCCAUGGCUCGAUAGCCAUUGGAGAUGGGCUGAUACAUUGUCCUCUCACUCUCCCGGAGAUCAAGGCACGCCACACAAGCUCCUGUCCUGAGAUAAGGCCUCGUCCACGGCCAGACGAUCUCGCCAUUGAGGUUAGUUAUACGGACUCAGGAAACUUUCCUCCAUUACAUUGUGUGUGUGGCCAUCGAUGAUUACAAUGCCAACGAGGAGUGGUGUUGCACGCUUCUCUUCAGAGAGAGAAAGAGAGCGACAAUUCAUGAGCUUCUGCAGGAGAGGGACCGGGUGGCGACGGAGAGGGACCGGGUGGCAGCGGAGAUGGAUCGGGCCGGGGAGGAGAAGACGGCUCGGUUGUUGGAGGAGGAGAGGGCACGAAAUGAGGCGGCUCAUCGGGCCAUGUACGAGAUCCUUGUGGUAACUUUCUUUUUCACAUUAGCCAAAUCAUGCACGUAAUGUCCAUUUCAUUACUAACUAAUAUGUAUGACUCUUCAAAACUAAAUAUGCAGUCUAUUGCGAGAAGACUGGCCACACCCCUCCGCCGAUGCCAGACAUUUUUUCUGUUGGAACGGUUAGUUUCAUUUGAAUGGUCAUUAGUUACUAGCAUUAACAUUUGAGUGUCAUCAUGCUAACAAGAAUUGCAAAAUAUCUUUGGUGCAGAAUAAUUCCCGUGCAACAUCGCACAACCCUUCUCUAGGGCAACCUUCUCUAGGUGAACCCGCCCGAAGCAACCCCGGUGAUUCACAUCCUUGAUGAUGAGGACGGUAAAUUUUCUCUAGUGUUCUUCUUAACAAAUGCAUAAUUAGCUUCGUACAUGCGAGUUAGCCCUAUUAUGCGACAUACUUAUCUUAUUUUCCCCAUGAAAGACAUACUUAGCUAAUUAUCCUCCAAAAUGACAUAAUUAGCUUAUUUAGUUCAUUUAUGACAUAAUUAGCCCAGUUAGGUCAAAAAUAGCAUAAGAACUUUGGUUAGCUCAGAAAUGUCAUAUACUUAUCUUAUCUUUCUCCUAAAUGACAUAAUAAGCUCAAAAUAAGAUAAGUAUUGUAAUCAUCUUCUCUUUCUUCUUCUCCUUAUUUUUCUCCUUCUUCUUCUUAUUCUCCUCCUUCUUCUUCUCCUACUCCUCCUUCUUCUUGUCUUUCUCCUCCUCCUUGUUCUUCUUAUCCUCUUUCUUCUUCUCCUUCUCCUUCUUCUUCUUCUCCUCCUCCUCCUUCUUCUCCUUCUCCUACUCCUCCUCCUCCAUCUUCUUCUUCUCCUUCUUCUUCUUCUUAUCCUCCUCCUCCUCCUCCUUCUCCUCCUCCUCCUCCUCCUUCUUCUUCUGCUUCUCCUUCUUCUUCACCUUCUCCUUCUUAUUCUCCUUCUUCUGCUUCUUCUCCUUCUCCUCCUCCUUCUUCUCCUUCUUCUCCUUCUCCUUCUCCUUAUCCUUCUCCUUCUCUCUCCUUCUCCUUCUCCUUCUCCUUCUCCUUCUCCUUCUCCUUCUCCUUCUACUUCUCCUGCUCCUUAUGCUUCUCCUUCUGCUUCUCCUCCUCCUCCUCCUCCUUCUUCUUCUUCUUCUUCUUCUUCUUCUUAUUCGUCCUCCUCCUCCUCCUCUUCUUCUUCUUAUUCCUCUUCUUCUUAUUAUUCCUCUUCUUCUUCUUCUUCUUCUUCUUNNNNNNNNNNNNNNNNNNNNNNNNNNNNNNNNNNNNNNNNNNNNNNNNNNNNNNNNNNNNNNNNNNNNNNNNNNNNNNNNNNNNNNNNNNNNNNNNNNNNAGCAUAAAUUCAAAAAAUUUCCUACGCUUAUUCNNNNNNNNNNGCGCUUGGCACCACUCCAAGAUCCGUCAUGAACUGCUUCAUCCAGACACCCUCCUUAGCCGCCUCCGAGGCAGCCAUGUACUCCGCUUCACAUGUAGAAUCUGCUACGACGCUUUGCUUGGAACUGCACCAGCUUACCGCACCCCCAUUAAGAAUAAAUACGUAUCCGGUUUGCAACUUAGAGUCGUCCGGAUCUGUGUCAAAACUUGCAUCGACGUAACCCUUUACGGCGAGCUCUUCGUCACCUCCAUACACGAGAAACACUCCUUAGUCCUUUUCAGGUACUUCAGGAUAUUCUUGACCGCCGUCCAGUGAUCCACUCCUGGAUUACUCUGGAACCUGCCUGCCAUACUUAUGGCCAGGCUAACUGUUGGGGAACGUAGCAUAAAUUCAAAAAAUUUCCUACGCUUAUUCAGAUCUUCCUAUGGAGAGACCAGCAACGAGAGAGGGGUAAGAGCAUCUUCGUACCUUUGAAGAUCGCUAAGCAGAAGCGUUGCUAGAACACGGUUGAUGGAGUCGUACUCGCAGCGAUUCUGAUCUAGUGCCGAACAACGGCACCUCCGCGUUCAACACACGUGCAGCCCGGUGACGUCUCCCGCACCUUGAUCCAGCAAGGAGGAGGGAGAGGUUGGGGAAGAAGUCCAGCAACACGACGGCGUGGUGUCGAUGGAGAGACGAGGUCUCCCGGCAGGGCUUCGCCAAGCACCGGCAGAGAGGAGGAGGGAGAGGAGCAGGGCUGCGCCGAGAGAGAGAGAUUCAACCGUGUCUCAAACAGCCCCGAACCUCAUCUAUAUAUAGGGGGAGAGGGAGGGGGCGCAGCCCUUAGGGUUCCCACCCCUAAGGGGUGCGGCAGCCCUUAGAUGGGAGAGGGGUGGCGGCCAGGGCAAGGAGGAGGGGUGGCACACCCCUCUGGUGGGCCUUAGGCCCACCUAAGCUAGGGUCCCCCCCUUCCCCUUUUUUCUGGUGCGCAUGGGCUGGGUGGGGGGCGCACCAGCCCACUUAGGGGCUGGUUCCCUUCCCCACUUAGCCCAUCUAGCCUCCCGGGGUCGUUGCCCCCCUUCGGUGGUCCCCCGGGACCACCUCCGGUGGUCCCGGUACGUUACCGGUGAUGCCCAAAACACUUCCGGUGUCCGAAACCAUCCGUCCUAUAUAUCAAUCUUUACCUCCAGACCAUUCUGGAGCUCCUCGUGACGUCCGAGAUCUCAUCAGGGACUCCGAACAACUUUUGGUAACCUCAUACAACAAUUCCCUAUAACCCUAGCGUCAUCGAACCUUAAGUGUGUAGNNNNNNNNNNNNNNNNNNNNNNNNNNNNNNNNNNNNNNNNNNNNNNNNNNNNNNNNNNNNNNNNNNNNNNNNNNNNNNNNNNNNNNNNNNNNNNNNNNNNUACUUGCCCGAGAUUCGAUCGUCAGUAUCCGNNNNNNNNNNUACAUAUUCUACGAAGAUCUUAUCGUUUGAACCUCAGUGCCAAGGAUUCGUAUAAUCCCGUAUGUCAUUUCUUUUGUCCUUCGGUAUGUUACUUGCCCGAGAUUCGAUCGUCAGUAUCCGCAUACCUAUUUCAAUCUCGUUUACCGGCAAGUCUCUUUACUCGUUCCGUAAUACAAGAUCCCGCAACUUACACUAAGUUACAUUGCUUGCAAGGCUUGUGUGUGAUGUUGUAUUACCGAGUGGGCCCCGAGAUACCUCUCCGUCACACGGAGUGACAAAUCCCAGUCUCGAUCCAUACUAACUCAACGAACUGCUUCGGAGAUACCUGUAGAGCAUAUUUAUAGUCACCCAGUUACGUUGCGACGUUUGAUACACACAAAGCAUUCCUCCGGUGUCAGUGAGUUAUAUGAUCUCAUGGUCAUAGGAACAAAUACUUGACACGCAGAAAACAGUAGCAACAAAAUGACACGAUCAACAUGCUACGUCUAUUAGUUUGGGUCUAUUCCAUCACGUGAUUCUUCUAAUGACGUGAUCCAGUUAUCAACCAACAACACCUUGUACAUAAUCAGAAGACCCUGACUAUCUUUGAUCAACUGGCUAGCAAACUAGAGGCUUGCUAGGGACAGUGUUUUAUCUAUGUAUCCACACAUGUAUAUAAGUCUUUAUUCAAUACAAUUAUAGCAUGGAUAAUAAACGAUUAUCUUGAUACAGGAAUUAUAAUAAUAACUAUAUUUAUUAUUGCCUCUAGGCAUAAUUCCAACACGUCUCCCACUUGCACUAGAGUCAAUAAUCUAGCCCUCACAUCAUCAUGCGAAUUACAUUGUAAUAAAUCUAACACCCAUACAGUUCUGGUGUUGAUCAUGCUUUGCCCGUGGAAGAGGUUUAGUCAGCGGGUUUGCUACAUUCAGAUCCGUGUGCACUUUGCAUAUAUUUNNNNNNNNNNNNNNNNNNNNNNNNNNNNNNNNNNNNNNNNNNNNNNNNNNNNNNNNNNNNNNNNNNNNNNNNNNNNNNNNNNNNNNNNNNNNNNNNNNNNAGACGGCAAAGCCCCCCGCCACGGCAGACGGCAAAGACCCCCCCACCAACGGUAGACGGCAAAGCCCCCCCCCCCUGCGCGGUAGAUGGCAAAGCCCCCCUCCCCACGGCACACAACAAAGUCUCCCCCCAUGGAAGACGGAAAAGUCUCCGUCAGCUAUCUAACAGAGUAGGUCCCUAUCGGUUGUCGUCUAGUUUACUUUGCCGUCUGCUUGCUAUGGCGGACCGAUGGCAAAGAACUUUGUCGUCCACUACUAGGCGGCAGACGGCAAAGGACGUCUUCACCAGCGCUAGCUACCGUGGAAAUUUUGUCGUCCGCCGUCGGACGGCAAAAGUCUUUGUCGUUCGUGGAGUGGCCCUUUGUUGUCCGCUAUGGCAGACGACAAAGAAUAUGAUUCGUGUAGUGCAAGCGUUUUUGUGAGCCUUCUUGAUCUCAUCGAGGUAGCCAUAAAUUUUAUUCUCAUGCCCACCUUCGUGGGAGCUUGAGGGGAGACAUACACAAUGUGUUGGGGAGGGAUCUCUGCAGGAGCUGAGCACGGUGGGGCUUGCUGGAGUGAGGAGAAGCGCAAGAAGUAAGGUGGAGGGGUAGCACUAUGUCUUGCUUAGAGCGAGAUCUAGCGUGCUUUCGCGCUUGGCACCUCCCUAAAUGGGUCGGCCCAAACGUGUGGGAGGUCACAGCCUUGUUUCAAUAUUUUUUUCAUGUUUUUUGUUUGUUUUUUCUUUCUUCUUUACUUUUGUUUAUACUUCCACAUAUUAUAAGCAAAUAUAUUACAAAAACUAAUUUCCAUAAAUGAAUUUAAAAAAUGUUAAAUGUGUCAAAAGCAUGUACGUAAAAUGUAUACAAAAGAUAUACAAUGUGUGUGUAAAAAGUUCAUCAAGUAUUUUUAAAAUGUUGAUAAAGCAUUUGAAAAAUAUACCAAACAAGUAGUUAAAAAAUGUUAAUCGAGCUUUUAGAAAUGUUAAACAUGUACAGAAAAAUAUUGGCCAUGUAUUUAGAAAAUGUUAAAUAUGUAAAAAAUAAUAUUGUAUCGUAUUAAAAAUAUUAAACUUUCAUUUGGAAAAGGUUAAUCAAGCAUUUUGUAAAUGUUAAUCAUAUAUAGAAAAAAUGUUGAUGAUGUUUUAAAAAUAACUAAUCUUGCAUUUCAAAAAUAAAAUAAUCAAGCAUUCAAAAAUAUUAAAUAUGAAAAGAAAAAUGUUGACCAUGCAUUAAAAAAUAACAUUGCAUUAAGAAAAUAUUAAUUAUGCAUUUAAAAUAUUAAAAUGUGUACAGAAAAAAUGUUCAUCAUAUAUUAUAUUUUUAUUAAAUUCACAAUUAAAAAUAUUAAUCAAGCAUAUCAAAAAUAUGAAAUUAAAUAUGUAUAAAAAAAUGUUGACCAUCCAUUCGAAAACUGAAAAAGAAGCAAAACCAAAUAUAAAUAAAUAAAUAAAAAGGAAGAAAAGAAAAAAUGCCAAUAAAAACCAAGAAAGAAACACAAAAAGAUGGCGAGAGAAAAACGAGUAAAAACCAAGAAAAAAACAGUGAAAAAAUAACACUACGGAAACCACUGAAGAAAUAGAUAAACCCCAAAGAAAACCUGAAAAAAUGGCAAAAAAUAGAAGAAACUAGUGCAUCAUCCACCGUGAGUGAUUUGAUUUUCUCGAUCGAAAACAACGAAAGAAAAAACAAACAAAUAUGGGCUGGCCUAAUAUUAUAGAGGGGGUGAAAAUGCUUUCGACGAGACGAGAGGAACACACUACAUAAGCUAGAUAUAGCCUUUAUCGAGGUGACGAGUACUUUUUGCAAAGAUCACUUCAUCUUUCGAGGUUGUGACAAGUAUCGCACUGCAUCUACGUGUUGGAAUUAUGCCUAGAGGCAAUAAUAAAUAUAAUUAUUAUUAUAAUUCCUGUAUCAAGAUAAUAGUUUAUUAUCCAUGCUAUAAUUGUAUUGAAUGAAGACUCAUUUACAUGUGUGGAUACAUAGACAAAACACCGUCCCUAGCAUGCCUCUAGUUGGCUAGCCAGUUGGUCAAUGAUAGUCAGUGUCUUCUGAUUAUGAACAAGGUGUUGUUGCUUGAUAACUGGAUCACGUCAUUGGGAGAAUCACGUGAUGGACUAGACCCAAACUAAUAGACGUAGCAUGUUGANNNNNNNNNNNNNNNNNNNNNNNNNNNNNNNNNNNNNNNNNNNNNNNNNNNNNNNNNNNNNNNNNNNNNNNNNNNNNNNNNNNNNNNNNNNNNNNNNNNNGUGCGUAGGAAAUUUUUGUUUCCCAUGCAACAUUCCCUUACAGUGGCAUCAUGGACUAGGUUCAUGCGUAGAUGUUAUCUCGAGUAGAACACAAAAGUUUUUGUGGGCAUUGACGUUCGAUUUGCUUCCCUUCUUAGUCUUUUCUCGAUUCGGUGGUAUUGUUCGAUUGAAGCGGCCCGGACCGACAUUACUCGUACGCUUACGAGAGACUGGUUUCAUCGACAAACAUGCAACUUGUUGCAUAAAGAUGACUGGCGGGGGUCGGGUUCUUCAACUUUAGUUGAAUUGGAUUUGACUGAUGCGGUCCUUGGAGACGGGUUAAAUAGCAAUUCGCACAUCUUCGUUGUAGUUUUUGUGUAAGUAAUAUGCGAUCAUACUAGAUACCCAUAGCAGCCACGUAAAACAUGCAACAACAAAUUAGAGGACGUCUAACUUGUUUUUGCAGGGUAUGCUUGUGAUAUGAUAUGGCCAAAGACAUGAUGUGAUAUAUUGGAUGUAUGAGAUGAUCAUGUUGUAAUAGUUUAUAUCGACUUGCACAUCGAUGCUACGACAACCGGCAGGAGCCAUAGGGUUGUCUUUAAACUAACGUUUGUGUUUGCAGAUGCGUUUACUAUACUGCUAGGUUGUAGCUUUAGUCGUAAUAGCAUAGAUAGCACGACAACCUCGAUGACGGCAUGAUGAUGGAUAUCAUGAUGAUGGAGAUCAUAGUGUGGCGUCGGUGACAAGAAGAUCAUGCCGAUGCUUUGGUGAUGGAGAUCAAGAAGCACAAGGUCAUGGCCAUAUCAUGUCACUUAUGAAUUGCAUGUGAUGUUAAUUCUUUUAUGCACCUUAUCUUGCUCAGAACGAUGGUAGAAUUAUAAGGUGAUCCAUUGCUAAAUUUCAAGAUAAAAUUAUGUUCUCACCAAUUGUGCACCGUUGCGACAGUUCGUCAUUUCAAGACACCACGUGAUGAUCGUGUGUGAUACUCAACAUUCACAGACAACGGGUGCAAAACAGUUGCACACGUGGAACACUCGGGUUAAACUUGACGAGCCUAGCAUGUGCAGACAUGGCCUCGGAACACAAGAGACCAAAAGGUUGAGCAUGAAUCGUAUAGUUGAUAUGAUUAGCAUAGAGAUGUUUACCACUGAAACUAUACUCAACUCACGUGAUGACCGGACUUGAGUUAGUGAAUUUGGAUCAUGCCACACUCAAGUAACUAGAGGGACGUCUAUUUGAGUGAGAGUUUAUUAGUAAUUUUAUUAGUUAAACUCUAAUUGUCUUGAACAUAGUCUAAGUCCACUUUGCAAUAUUUUAUGUUGUAUAUCAAUGGCUCACGCAGUAGCAACCCUGGAUUUCAAUAUGUUCCUAGAGAAAGCUAAGUUGAAAGAUGAUGGAAGCAACUUUGUAGACUAGGCACGUAAUCUUAGGCUCAUCCUACAAGCUCGGAAAAAGAAUUAUGUCCUUGAUGCUGCGCUAGGAGAUGAACCACCCGCUACGUCUGACCAAGAUGUUUUGAACGCUUGGCAAUCGCGUAAGGAGGACUACUUAGUAGUUCAAUGUGUAGUCUUGUAUGGCUUGGAACCGGGACUUCAACGGCGCUUAGCAUAUGAGAUGUUCGAGGAGUUGAAGUUUAUCUUUCAGAAUAACGCUUGAAUUGAGAGGUAUGAGACCCCCGAUAAAUUCUAUGCUUGCAAGAUGGAGGAGAAUUCGUCUAUUAGUGAACAUUUGCUCAAAAUGUGUGGGUACUCAAACCGUCUAGCUGAGCUGGGGAUUAAACUCCCGCAAGAGGCUAUCACUGAGAGAAUUCUUCAAUCACUGCCACCUAGCUAUAAGAGCUUUGUGUUGAACUAUAACAUGCAAGGGAUGAACAAGUCACCCAACGAGUUAUUUGCGAUGCUGAAAGUCGCAGAGUCUGAACUCCGGAAAGAGCAUCAAGUGUUGAUGGUCAAUAAGACCACUGGUUUCAAGAGAAACAGCAAAGGCAAGAAGGGUAACUCCAAGAAGAGCAGCAAAACUGUUGCCAAUCCGACGAAGAAACCCAAGGCUGGACCUAAGCCGGAAACAAAGUGCUAUUAUUGCAAGGGGAUGGGUCACUGGAAGCGCAACUGCCCCAAGUAUUUGGCUGAUAAGAAGGCGGCCAAAGAAAAAUCAGGUAUAUGUGAUAUACAUGUUAUUGAUGUGUACUUAACCAACUCUCAUAGUAGUGCAUGGGUAUUUGAUACCGGUUCUGUUGCUCAUAUUUGCAACUCGAAGCAGGAACUGCGGAAUAAACGAAGGCUAGCGAAGGAUGAAGUGACAAUGCACGUGGGAAAUGGUUCCAAGGUUGAUGCAAUCGCCGUCGGCACAGUCUCACUUCAGUUACCAUCCGGAUUAGUUAUGAACUUAAAUAAUUGUUAUUUAGUGCGUGCGUUAAGCAUGAACAUUAUAUCUGGAUCUUGUUUAUUGCGAGACAGUUACUCAUUUAAGUCAGAGAAUAAUGGUUGUUCUAUUUCUAUGAGUAAUAUCUUUUAUGGUCAUGCACCCAAUGUGAGAGGUUUGUUCAUAUUGAAUCUUGAUUGUCAUGAUACACAUAUACAUAACACUGAGACCAAAAGAUGUAGAGUUAACAAUGAUAGCGCCACGUUUUUGUGGCACUGCCGCUUAGGUCAUAUUGGUGUAAAGCACAUGAAGAAACUCCAUACCGAUGGGCUUUUGGAGUCACUUGAUUUUGAAUCACUUGACACAUGCGAACCAUGCCUCAUGGGCAAAAUGACUAAGACUCCGUUCUCCGAAACAAUGGAGCGUGCAAGUGACUUAUUGAAGACCAUACAUACUGAUGUGUGCAGUCCAAUGAGUGUGAAGGCGUGUUGAAGAUAUCGUUAUUUUCUCACCUUCACCAACGAUUUGAGUAGGUAUGGAUAUAUCUACUUGAUGAAGCACAAGUCUGAAACGUUUGAGAAGUUCAAGCAAUUUCAGAGUGAAGCCGAAAAUCAUCAUAACAAGAAGAUAAAGUUCAUGCGUUCUGAUCAAGGGGGCGAAUAUCUGAGUUUCGAGUUUGGUGCCAACUUAAGACAAUGUGGAAUCGUUUCACAGUUAACACCGCCUAGAAGACCACAACGUAAUGGUGUGUCCGAACGUCGUAAUCGUACUUUGUUAGAUACGGUGCGAUCUAUGAUGUCUCUUACCGAUUUUUCGUUAUCAUUUUGGGGUUAUGCAUUAGAGACAGCAGCAUUCACUUUAAAUAGGAUACCAUGAAAAUCCAUUGAGACGACACCAUAUGAACUAUGGUAUGGCAAGAGGCCAAAGUUGUCGUUUCUUAAAGUUUGGGGAUGUGAUUCUUAUAUCAAAAAGCUUCAGCCUGAAAAGCUGGAACCCAAAGCAAAAAAGUGAGUCUUCAUAGGUUACCCAAAGGAGACAGUUGGGUACACCUUCUAUCUCAGAUCCGAGGGCAAAGUGUUUGUUGCUAAGAACAUAGCUUUUCUUGAGAAGGAAUUUCUCCCGAAAGAAUUGAGUGGGAGGAAGAUAGAACUUGAUGAGGUUGUAGAACCUCUAGUCCCUCUAGAUGGUGGCGCAGGGCAGUGGGAAACCUCUGUCAAAGCGACGCCGGUUGAGGAGGAAGCUAAUGGUGAUGAUCAUGAAGCUUCGGAUCAAGUUACUGUCGGGCCUCGCAGGUCGACAAGAUCACGUACUGCUCCUGAGUGGUACGGUAAUCCUGUCUUAUCAAUCAUGUUGUUAGACAACAAUGAACCUGCGAAUUAUGAAGAAGCAAUGGUGGGACCGGAUUCCAACAAAUGGUUGGAGGCCAUGAAGUCCAAGAUAGGAUCUAUGUAUGAAAACAAAGUGUGGACUUUGGAAGUAUUACCUGAAGGUCGCAAGGCUAUUCAGAACAAAUGGAUCUUUAAGAAGAAGACGGACGCGGACGGUAAUGUGACCGUUUAUAAAUCUCGACUUGUGGCAAAGGGUUUUUCACAAGUUCAAGGAGUUGACUAUGAUGAGACGCUCUCACCAAUAGCGAUGCUUAAGUCCAUACGAAUCAUGUUAGCAAUAGCUGCAUUUUUCGAUUAUGAAAUCUGGCAGAUGGAUGUCAAAACGGCGUUCCUUAACGGUUUUCUUAAGGAAGAGUUGUAUAUGAUGCAACCCGAAGGUUUUGUCGGUCCAAAGAAUGCUAACAAAGUAUGCAAGCUCCAGUGAUCCAUUUAUGAACUGGUGCAAGCAUCUCGGAGUUGGAAUAAGCGCUUUGAUGAGGUGAUCAAAGCAUUUGGGUUUAUACAAGUUGUUGGAGAAUCUUGUAUUUACAAGAAAGUGAGUGGGAGAUUUGUGGCAUUUCUAAUAUUAUAUGUGGACGACAUAUUGCUGUUUGGAAACAAUGUGGAGUUUUUAGAGAGUGUAAAAGAUUACUUGAAUAAAUGUUUUUCAAUGAAAGACCUAGGAGAAGCUGCUUACAUAUUAGGCAUUAAGAUCUAUAGAGAUAGAUCGAGGCGCCUAAUAGGACUUACACAAAGCACAUACCUUGAUAAAGUUUUGAAGAAGUUCAAAAUGGAAUAGUCCAAGAAGGGGUUCUUGCCAGUAUUACAAGGUAUAAAGUUGAGUAAGACUCAAUGUCCAGUAACUGCGGAAGAUAGAGAAAAGAUGAGUGCCAUCCCCUAUGCUUCAGCCAUAGGGUCUAUCAUGUAUGCAAUGUUGUGCACUAGACCGGACGUCGGCUUGGCCAUAAGUAUGGCAGGCAGGUUUCAAAGUAAUCCAUGAGUGGAUCACUGAACGGCGGUCAAGAAUAUUCUGAAGUAUCUGAAAAGGACUAAUGAAAUGUUUCUGGUUUAUGAAGGUGACGAAGAGCUCGUCGUAGAGGGUUACGUCGAUGCAACCUUUGACACUGAUCCGAAUGACUCUAAGUCUCAAACUGGAUACGUAUUUAUUCUUAAUGGGGGUGCGGUAAGCUGGCGUAGUUCCAAGCAAAGCGUCGUAGCAGAUUCUACAUGUGAGGCGGAGUACAUGGCUGCCUCGGAGGCAGCUAAGGAGGGUGUAUGGAUGAAGUAGUUCAUGACGGAUCUUGGAGUUGUGCCGAGCGCACUGAAAGGACAUGGAUGUCGCCUAGAGAGGGGGUGAAUAGGCGCUUUAAAAUAAUUACGGUUUAGGCUUGAACAAAUGCGGAAUGAAACUAACGUUUAAUUUGUCAAGCACAAAACCUACAACAACUAGGCUUACCUAUGUGCACCAACAACUUAUGCUAAGAAAGAUAAACAACUAAGUGAUAGCAAGAUAUAUGAUAAUACAUAAUAUGGAUAUCACAAAGUAAAGUGCAUAAGUAAAGGGUUCGGGUAAGAGAUGACCGAGGCGCACGGAGACGAUGAUAUAUCCCGAAGUUCACACCCUUGCGGAUACUAAUCUCCAUUGGAGCGGUGUGGAGGCACAAUGCUCCCCAAGAUGCCACUAAGGCCAAUGUAAUCUCCUCACGCUCUCGCACAAUGCAAGAUGCCGUGAUUCCACUAAGGGACCCUUGAGGGCGGUCACCGAACCCGUACAAAUGGCAAACCUUGGGGGCGGUCACCGAUACCCGUACAAAUUGCUUGGGGCAAUUCCACAACCUAAUUGGAGACCCCGACGCUUGCCCGGAGCUUCACACCACAAUGAUUGAGCUCUGAGACACCACCAAGCUUCUAGGACGCCAAAGCAUCCACGAAGAACAAUAUCUAGGGUACUAAGUACCAAAGGUAAUAAGCUUCUCAACUUCUCACUUCCACGUAUCGCCGUGGAGAACUCAAACCGAUGCAACUGAUGCAAUGGCAAGAACACAUGAAGUGGUCAAGUCCCUCCCACUCAAAUCCCUCCACAACAACAAAAGCUAUGGAGAAAUAUGAGAGGAAGAACAAGGAGCUCACAAAGAACUCCAACAUCUAGAUCCAAGGGGUUCCCCUCACAUAGAGGAGAAAGUGAUUGGUGGAGAUGUGGAUCUAGAUCUCCUCUCUCUUUUCCCUCAAGAACAAGAAAGAAUCAUUGGAGGGAUUGAGAGUUAGCAAGCUCUAAGAAAGUCAAUAAUGGGGGAAGAACACGAGCUCAACGGAUAAGUAAAAACCAAGGGGGAAGAAGACCCCCUUUAUAUAGUGGGGGAAGAAAUCAGACCGUUACCCCCACUUACAGCCCGAGCCCACUGGUACUACCGCUAGCUGCAGCGGUACUACCGCUAACCCUCCAACGGUACUACUGCUGACUGCAGCAGUACUACCGCUGGCCCUCCAGCGGUACUACCGCUAGCUGCAGCGGUACUACCACUGAGCCCAUGGUAGCGCAAAGAUACUACCGGGCCAACCACCGCCAAGAAAGUCUUCGCAAAAAGUCCGACGUAGUACAGAUGCAAAUAGGACGGUACUAAAGUCCUGGAGUGGUACUACCGUUGACCAGAGGCGGUACUACUGCUGGGCCAGCGGUACUACCGCCAUCUCUAGCGGUACUACCGCUAGGUCCAGCGGUACUACCGCUCGCCACUGAAACAGCCAUAACUUUCGCAUACGAGCUCCGAAUCGAGCAAACCCAAGCUUGUUGGAUUCAGGACGACAACAGCUAUCCAAACAGCGAAAAUGCCAAUGAUAUAGAGAUGUGAGUCCUCUAUGAAUGAAGAACCGGGAAAAACUCCAACAUCGAAAACAUCAUAGUAGAUGCAUAUGGACUUCGUUUUCGAUGAACUCGAGCUUGUCAUCAAGAUGACCAUAAGCUCUAAAACUCACAAAGAGAAACACCAAAUAAGAACCAAGAAGUAUGAUGCAAGGAUGGAAAUGGUUUGAGCUAUCAACGAACGAUAUGAUCGAGCUACUCACUUGAGAGCCCCCCUUGGCAGAACGGCAAUCUAUCCUAAAACAGAAAACCUAUCAAGCGCAAACCUAUACCUUGCACCUCGUCCACUUGAGCUAGAUGAUGAUGAUCUUGGCUUCCUCAAGAUGGACCACCUUUCUUGAUUGCGUUGGCUUGAUGAAGACUAGUUGAUUGCUCCCCCAUACUCACUAUGGGUGAGCCACUCUUCAGCAUAUCUUCACAAGUCCAUUGCCACCACAAUGGACGACAAGCUUCAAGCAUGAUAUAUUCGUGCUGAUCCACUUGAACUUGCACACCGCAAUCUUGAUGACGAUCACCAAUUCACGUCAUACUUCAUGGGUUGUAUGAGAUCUUUCUUUUGACGCAAGCCCAUGGAAACACACCUAACCCCCACAUAGAACUCUCACGAAGACCAUGGGUUAGUACGCAAACACGUAAUGGACAAUGGUUACCAUACCAUGGGAUCACUUGAUCCCUCUCGGUACAUCUUGUACUCUUUGCGUGUUGAUCAUCUUGAUUUACUCUUUGUCUGAGAUCUUGAUCAACCUUGUGUCUCUAUGACCAUUCUUUGGUUAAUACCUUGAAUACCAUCUUGGUCAUAUAUAAACUCCUUGAACCCAACAGAUGAACUUCAAGAAGUGCAUAUGGACAAAUCCUAUAAAUAUAACUUAAGGCAACCAUUAGUCCAUAGGAAUUGUCAUUAAUUACCAAAACCACAUAUGGGGAUAUAUGCUCUAACACGCACUAAAUCCAAGAACUCUGUUCUGUGACAACACUGGUGCCAUUGCUUUAGCAAAGGAACCAAGGUUUCACAAGAAGACCAGACACAUCAAACGACGCUUCAACCUCAUCCGCGACUACAUCGAAGGAGAGGACGUAAAUAUUUGCAAAGUGCACACGGAUCUAAUUGUAGCAGAUCCGCUCACUAAGCCUCUUCCACGAGCUAAGCAUGAUCAACACCAGAAUUGUAUGGGUGUUAGAUUCAUUCCAAUGUAAAUCGUAUGGUGAUGUGAGACUGGAUUAUUGACUCUACUGCAAGUGGGAGACUGUUGGAAAUAUGCCCUAGAGGCAAUGAUAAAAUAGUUAUUAUUAUAUUUCAUGUUUCAAGAUAAUCGUUUAUUAUCCAUGCUAUAAUUGUAUUGAAUGAAAGUAUAGAUACAUGUGUGGAUACAUAGACAAAACAAUGUCCCUAGUAAGCCUCUAGUUGGCUAGUCAGUUGAUCAAGGAUGGUUAAGGUUUUCUGACCAUAUGCAAGUGUUGUCACUUGAUAGCUGUAUCACAUCAUUAGGAGAAUGAUGUGAUGGACAAGACCCAAAUUAUAAACGUAGCAUGUGAUCGUGUCAUUUUGUUGCUAUUGUUUUCUGUUUGUCAAGUAUUCAUUCCUAAGACCAUGAGAUCAUGUAACUCACUGACACCAAAGGAAUACCUUGUGUGUAUAAAAUGUCACAACGUUACUGGGUGACUAUAAAGGUGCUCUACAGGUAUCUCUGAAGGUGUCCGUUGAGUUAGCAUGGAUCAAGACUGGGAUUUGUCACUCCGUGUGACGGAGAGGUAUCUCGGGGCCCACUCGGUAAUGCAACAUCACAUAUAAGCCUUGCAAGCAAUGUGACUCAAGUGUAAGUCACGGGAUCUUGUAUUACGUAAUGAUUAAAGAGACUUGCCGGUAACGAGAUUGAAAUAGGCAUAGAGAUACCAACGAUCAAAUCUCGGGCAAGUAACAUACCGAAGAACAAAGGGAAUGUUAUACGAGAUUACAUGAAUCCUUGGCACAAAGGUUCAACCAAUAAGAUCUUCAUAGAAUUUGUAGAAUCCAAUAUGGACGUCCAGGUACCGCUAUUGGAUAUUGACCGAGGAGUGUCUCGGGUCAUGUCUGCAUAGUUCUCAAACCCGCAGGGUCUGCAAACUUAAGGUUUGGUGACGUUUUAAUAUAGUUGAGUUAUAUGUGUUGGUGACCGAAGGUUGUACGGAGUCCCGGAUGAGAUCAUGGAUGUCACGAGGAUUUCUGGAAUGGUCCAAAAAUGAAGAUUGAUAUAUAGGAUGGUUUCAUUUGGUCACCGGAAAGAUUAUGGGCAUUACCGGCAGUGUACCGGGAGUGACGAAUGGGUUUCGGGUAUUCACCGGGAGGGGCCCACCCACCCGGGAGUGAGCCCAAUAGCACUAGGGUGGCGCACCAGCCCUAGUGGGCUGGUGAGGCCAGCCCAAGUGGGCUAUGGCGCCACAAGGAGAAAAAACCAAAGGAAAGAAAAAAAAGGAAAGAGGGAGGUGGGAAGGAAGGAGUGGACUCCUUCCCCCAUACCGAAUUGGGAUGGGAGUCCACCUCCUCCCUUCGGCCGGUGCCCUUGGGGCUCCCUUGAGCCCCAAGGCUAGCCCCUCCCCUCCUCCUAUAUAUGUUGGUGGUUUUAGGGAUUUUGAGACACAACUUUGCCACGUGCAACUCAAACCUAUACCACGUAGUUCUUCCUCUAGAUUAGAUUUCUGCGGAGCUCAGGCGGAGCCCUGCAGGAGUAGAUCAUCACCAUCACCGGCGCACCGUAAGGCUGCCGUACAACUCAUCUACUUCCUUGUCUCUCUUACUGGAUCAAGAAGGCGGAGAUCAUCAUCGAGAUGUACGUGUGCUGAACGCGGAGGUGUCGUCCGUUCGGUGCUAUAUCAGAACGGAUCGUGGGACGACGGUGAUUUGAAUCACGAAGUUGUACCACUACAUCAAGUGCAUUUCUUCACGCUUCCCGCUUAGAGAUCUACAAGGGUAUGUGGAUCUAAUCUCCCUCUCGUAGAUGAACAUCACCAUGAUAGGUCUUCGUGUGCGUAGGAAAUUUUUUGUUUCAAAUGCAACAUUCCCCAAUACCAACCACUGAGAACCCCUUACCAGGCUUUAGGCAGGAACGUGUACCUAUGGACUUUAAGCUGCCCGAGAAGCAGAUUGAUGAGGAAGAAGUUUCAAUUUCUCCUGCCUUUGCGAAGCUUAGGGCCUUGAGCGGCAAUGACCUUACCGGCGUCGAUUUGAUCCUCUGCUGGGUGGACUGGUGGAUAAUGCCUUUGAGCCGCCGGGACGAAUUAAUGUGCGAAUACAAUGACGACUUAAACCAUCUGCAAUGCUUCUCCAACGUCAUGCUUGAUAAGGAAGACAUUGACAAUAUUGUGAAGAAACGGUGUGGCGAGCCACUUAAGACUUGCUCUAAUAUUAGCUUAAAGUUGUUCUGCCUCUCCAACCCGGCUCCAGAGGUGAAAUAAUUCAACUCGCAUGUCUUGCUUUUUUAUAACUUUGAGCUUGUUUCUGACCCGAGUUCCAAUUAUGUUAAUCAGAAGAACUCGCCUUUCUGGAAACGGAAGCCGAAAACCACCGUCAAGAAGGUACCGACGAAAACCGCCCCAAAGAAGAAAACCAAGGGCAAAACCGCCACAGUAGAGUCAUCCGUUGUGGGCGAGUCUCGGGCCGCAGAGGAACACUCAGAGGUAAAUGCUUUUGUCCUUCUUAUUCCAACACAGUAUGUACUUAAACAUUGUUGUUUUCGUUUAUAUGGUGAUGACAUGGAGAGCCAAGAUGAAGACGUCGAGGUAAUUUUCGUUUCUUCCGACUCAAAUUCUUCUUCUCCCAAGCCGGCAAGGCGAGUCUGUACAGAAGUCCCCGUGUCUCACCCAGAUGCUCAUCUGGAUCCCAAUUUCCUUUUGAAGAAGGCGGGUUAUACACCAAAACGUCACACUCGAAGCCAUUCUGGGGAUAUCUUGUCCGGUUUGCCCGAGAAAAUGGUCGGUCGCAAGCGACAAAGCUAGGUAUGUUUUAUGUUAAAUGUCACUCUUCCAUGUGCAGCCAAUUCUCACAACUUACUCAAUCUUUUGAAUCUUAUGUCUAACAGGUUUCACCUGCUUCAUUUAGCGACUCACCUGCUUCAGCUCUCCCUCCUUUAAUCCGCCUUGAGGGGUAAGUACUUUUUCCAAUAUGUUGUUUGGACGCUAGUCUUUCAAUUUUAACAUAACUACCACCCUUAUAGGGAUCAAGACAAAAAGAGAAAGACUGGCGAGUCAUCAUCUAACCCCAAGGCGGCUGAUAAGGUGGGAAUAAGUACUUCCAUUCCAGAAGCUCAGGAAGAGUCGGCUGAGACUCACGCCGAAGCUCCUGACAAUCUCCCCUAUAUUCAAGAUGAGCCGCCGAGCCCACAGAAGGAAGUUGUUGAGAAUCUCAACCCACCAAGCCCUCAAAAGGCGGCUGAAGACAUGACACCUGACCCAGAUCAAUUCUUCAUUACUGGAACAGGCUAUUCUGAACAUGCAUCCGUAGUGUUGACCAAGCAUACUCCCAAGGAUACCCCAAUACUUAGAGAGAAGGGCAUGACCAAGUUGAAGCUUCCCAAUAUUGAGAAGCUAGAUUUUGACGAAUUACAUUCUGGCUAUCUGAGUCGCGUGGCGGCGAGUCGUGACAUGGAAACAAGUCUGGUCAACAUGAUGAAGAAAAAACACGAGGUAUGAUACCUAUCAUCCUCCUUUAUAUGUACUCCCAUUAGCCCUACAAAAGGCGAGUCAUCUUUGUAAUGAUGAGUCGGAGUUUUGUGACAAGCUUUGUAGACAACUUCAACCUCUAGCCCCCAAGGGUCGGGUCAUAUUCUUUGAAGAUGAGCCGGGUCUGUAGUUUAAAUUGUAAGAAAGCUUCAACCUGUAGCCCCCAAGGGUCGGGUCAUCUUCUUUGAAGAUGAGCCGGGUAUGUAGUUUAAAUUGUAAGAAAGCAUCAACCUGUAGCCCCCAAGGGACGGGUCAUCUUCUUUGAAGAUGAGCUUGGUCUUGCUUAAGGUAUUGCCAUGGAAAAUUGAAUCAUACAUUAGCCCCCAAGUGUCAGGGAUAUUGCUUGCAAUCUGUAUGAAACUUGUCAUAAACAUUUGGAUUUUUGUAGGAAAUGAUCCAGGCCGACUCAACCGUGUCUGGCUUGAAGCAAAGCUUAGGAAAACACCAAGAUGCCCGAGCUAAGUUUGAAGAAAAUUCCGCCUUGCACUUGUGGAUAUGGAGAAAAUGAAAGCGGAUCACAAAUAAUUUGAAGAAAAAGCUGAGGAUGAGCGAGCCGCUUUGCUGAAAAGGGUCGAACAAGCCAAAAAACAAAUGAAAGUCGCCGUUCAGGAACUGACUGGGAUGAAACUUCAUAUCUCCAAAAUGGCUAAUGUUGUGUUUGGUAAGUAUCCGCCGCUGCCCGUGUUUGAAAAGUAAUGUUUUAAAACACAUCGGCGACUUGUGAUUGUGUAUCCUUGCUGUAGGUCCUCGAUCCGUCAAUCUCCAUGAUGAUUGUGUAUUCAAGCUAAAGGCAAUAUACACUUUAACAGAGCAACUGUAUGCUGGCAGCUUGAUGACUAUUAAGGAUGUCAUGGGCGAUAAGGAUCCUCUGAAGACAAUCAAGUAUAUGUUGGGGUACUUGUCCACAAUGCCAAAGCAGAUUGAAGAAUUAAAAAGAUCAACCGCCCGGAAAGGAGUACUUACCACCCUUAGUCGAUGCUUGGCUUACGCUCCAGAGCUUAAGCCGGAGGAGAUAACUGGCGGGUUUUAAGAAUAUAAAGACGACGGGUCAUAAUUCACUCAAGAGGACUAUCAUCGAUGUGUGAAGGAAUCUCGCCUACCGGCGACUCAACUGGCAGCCAGUUUGGACUUAGCCAAGUAUCACGCGGCUUAUGAUGAGAAAAACAACCGUGUCACUCCUCCCUCUUUUGAAAUCACAGAUCUGACUCCGCAGCACUGUAAGCACCUUUUUGACUCUCAUGCUGACCCGUCCACCAUCUUGACCAAAGAAGCUGAGUUACACGCCUUAACCAAUUGCAAUUGGACAAUGGGCGACUUACAGUUCCAAGACGGCGAAGGCUCGAUGCCGGAUAACCCGGAGGCGGCUUGAACAAGGUGUUACUUGAAGACUGCCCAUGGAGAUCGAUCCAGAAGAUCAAAUUCCGGGUCAUGUAAAAUUUGGUGGCCUUCUCAGCCAUGUAAUAGGUUAGAGAUGAAAACAGUAGUAUUUUGCACCGUACCUUUAUUGACUUUGAAGUCUCACCCUUUGAGAAUAUGAGCCGCCUUACUAGGCGUUUUGCUAUGUCUUGAUCAAAGAAAUGAUGCUUCAUGUGGCCAGAGAAGAAUAUUGAGCCGGCUCAAUGAGACGCCGCAGUCGGUAAUCAUGAGUCUUGAAAACUCUAACUGUACCCCAAAGAUACUUUGUAGUCAUAAAGUUUGCCAACUCAAUGAGUCGCGGCAGGGUAGGACGAGCUUGCAAGGCUCUAGUGCUACCCUAGAGAGGCUUUUGCAACAGCCUUAGUUGUUUAGACCAGCUGAUCAGGCGCAAGUCAGGCUUCAGUGAAGCAGGUUCAGUGAAUCCAUGGUUUGUCUAUUUUCCAUAUGCCGGCUCCCGCAAGCACCCUUCAUGUUUUAACCAAGGCAAGUUCAGGGUCCAAAUCUGGAUUGACUCGCCAAGAGUACAUGGGACCAUAGGGAGAGUCGUCAAACAUAUAGUCCAAUAUAACCAUUGUAAUGCGUUAAUUUUUUGCUUGCCAAGAGGGUAUUCAGGCUGAACUCAGUGAGUAGAAGCCCCCAAGUGACCUAUGAUUAGGGAAAGUCAGACAUAGGAUUGCAGAAGCGUUUACGCUCUUACUGCAAAACGACUUGGGAACUAGUAGCCCCCAGGUAAGCCAGCUUAAUUCACAAAAUCAUAUAAGACGCCCAUGUUUGAACCGUGCAACGUGGCAACUUUGGUCCUCUUUGGCUUACCAGUAUCCAGUUUUGAAAUAAGUGCAGCAUGGCGACUUAUGCUCUUUGAUACUGAUAGCAUCCAUGCUUGGACGGCUUAUGAAAUAAUAAAGACUCAUGCUUUCAAGAAGCUGAAACGGCAGAGACCCCAAAUUUCGUGGGUGCCGGCUUUAUUGCUAUAUAUAUAUAAAGAGUACAAGAACUUGCUGGUAAAUCGCCGGCCGUGCUGCGGCUAAGUCACGCUCCUCCUCCAAGGCAUCCAAUGAAUCUUGACGCCCCAGCUCGUUGUCCUCGUCAAUAUAGGCGGCGACUCAUGGUGAGUCAUGCCUUAUGUCACUUGGUAAGACCGCCUCAGCUCCGUAGACCAAGAAAAAAGGCGUGUAACCAAUGGACCUGUUGGGGGUAGUCCUUAUGCUCCAAAGUAAUGAAGGAAGCUCCUCAACCCAGCAACCCGGAGUGCACUCCAAGGGGACCAUGGGUCAAGGUUUGAUCACACGCAAGAUUUCUUGAUUUGCUCUUUUCGCCUAUCCAUUGGAUUGGGGAUGUGCAACCGCGGAGACAUCAAGCCGGAUGUGCUCCUUUUCACAAAAUUCUUGCAUGGCGCCUUUGGAUAAAUUAGUACCAUUAUCAGUAAUGAUACUAUGAGGAUACCCAAAGCAAAAGAACAACUUCUUGAGGAACUUGACGGCCGUUUCUGCAUCGCAACUGCUAACCGGCUCUGCUUCAACCCACUUGGUAAACUUGUCAACCACCACCAGUAGAUGAGUCUUUUUGUUGGAAGACAUCUUGAAAGGACCAACCAUGUCGAGCCCCCAGACCGCAAAAGGCCAUGUAAUUGGGAUCAUCCGCAAUUCUUGAGCCGGCACAUGCAUCUGACGCCCAAAUUUCUGACAACCAUCACAUUUGCGCACUAUGUCUUCAACAUCGGUGUGAGCUGUCAACCAAUAGAAUCCAUGUCUAAAGGCUUUCGACACCAACGAUCGUGACCCGGCGUGAUGACCACAGUCGCGAGCAUGAAUCUCAUUAAGGAUCGCACGACCCUCUUCGGGCGAGACGCAUCUUUGAAAAAUUCCACAAGUGCUUCAUUUGUGCAACUCGCCUUAUGUAUGACCAUAGAUUUGCAUCGCCGGAUAAUUUGGCGAGCCAACAACUCAUCAGCCGGUAACUCGCCCCGUGCGAAAUAAGACAUGUAAGGGACCGCCCAAUCCGGAGUGGCACGAACAUCUGCCACAAGUUGAGAUUCUGGGUCAGGGACCGCUAUAUCCUCCUCAGAAGGCAACUUCACCGACGAUUAUGCAGGAUAUCCAAAAAUACGUUGGGAGGAACCGGCUUACGCUGUGACCUGAGUCGUGAAAGAGCGUCAGCUGUCUCAUUGAGCCGGCGGUCAAUAUGAUCAACUUGAUAACCAUGAAACUGACCCGCCACAUCUGAUACAGCACGCCUGUAAGCCGCCAUCAACGGAUCCCUGGAAUACCACGUUCCGGAAACUUGUUGCGCCACCAGAUCUGAGUCGCCCAGGCAACUAACCCGUCUAAGGUUCAUCUCUCUGGCGAUCCAAAGCCCGUCGAGCAAAGCCUCGUACUCCGUUGCAUUGUUAGUGCACGGAAACAUGAGUCGUAGAACAUAGCAAAACUUAUCACCCUGCAGGGAAGUCAGUACCACGCCAGCCCCCGAGCCUUCCAGCUGCCUGGACCCGUCAAUAUGUGUGAUCAGGUCUGUCUUCUAGAAUUUGCAACUCGGUCCAAUCAUUGAUGAAAUCUACUAAGGCCUGAGACUUGAUGGUCAUGCGGGGCAUAUACUUCACGUGGUGAGGACCAAGCUCAAUGGCCCACUUAGCAAUCUGCCCGGUUGCUUCACGGUUUUGUAUGAUAUCGCCAAGUGGUGCAGAACUGACCACCGUGAUCGGAUGCUCCUGGAAGUAGUGCUUCAGCUUCUGACCCGCCAUGAAGAUCCCAAAAACCAGCUUCUGCCAGUGUGGAUAACAUUGUUUGGAGAGGGUCAAGACUUCGCUAUCAAAGUACACAGGCCUUUGGACCGGGUACUCCUUUCCUUGUUCCUUGCGUUCGACAACCACUACCACGCUUGCUGCUUUAGAGUUAGCAGCAAUGUACAUGAGCAUAGGCUCUUUGUCGGUGGGGGCUGCUAAAACGCCGGCUCAGCCAAUUGCUUCUUCAGGGCCUCAAAGGCUUCGUUGGUCGCGUCUGUCCACACAAAACGGUAUGUUUUCUUGAGCAGCUGAUAAAGAGGGAUGGCCUUCUCACCAAGGCGACUUAUGAAGCGACUCGGAGUUGGGAUACAACCCGCCAUACGCUGGACCUAGUUUAUAUUAGCCGGUUUGCCAAGGGAAGUGAUCGCCUUAAUCUUGUCCGGGUUGGCCUCAAUACCUCGCUCUGACACCAAGAAACCCUAUAACUUCCCUGCAGGGACAUUGAAAACACACUUGGUCGGGUUAAACUUCAUCUGAUACACACACAAACUGUCAAACGUCUCCUUGAGAUCCUCUAGAAGUGACUCCUUCUUUUGGGAUUUCACCACUAUGUCAUCAACAUAGGCGUGAACGUUGCGCCCGAUCUGAUUGUGCAGACAAUUUUGGAUACAUCGUUGAUAAGUCGCCCCUGCACUCUCAAGCCCGAAUGGCAUGGAGACAUAGCAAAAAGCACCAAAAGGAGUUAUGAAGGUCGUCUUCUCUUGAUCCUCCAAAGCCAUUUUUAUUGGGUGAUAACCUGAGUAUGUAUCCAAAAACACAACCGCUCGCAACCCAACAUAGAGUCAAUGAUUUGAUCAAUACGAGGGAGAUAGAAAGGGUCCUUCGGGCAUGCCUUGUUGAGGUCGGUGUAGUCAAUGCACAUGCGGAAAGUCCCAUUCUUCUUGAGGACCAAGACUGGGUUGUCCAGCCACUCUGGAUGAAAAACUUCCACAAUGAACCGAGCAGCCAAGAGUCGGGCUACCUCUUCCCCGAUUGCCUUACGCCUCUCCUCGUUGAAACGAAAGAGGUACUGCAGAACCGGCUUAAUCUUGGGAUCUACAUUAAGGUGGUGCUCAGCGAGCUCUCUCAGUACACCUGGAAUGUCAGAAGGUUUCCAUGUAAAAAUGUCCCGAUUCUCAUGGAUGAAUUCGAAGUGCGUGCUUUCCUAUAUGGGAUCCAGACCCAUCCGAAUAGUGAAUUGCUUGGAAGAGUCGCCAGGCGUGAAAUCAACCUGCUUGGUGUCAUCUGUAGGUUUAAACUUGAGGGGCGGCUCUGAAUCGAUUGUGGGCUUCUUGAGUGGAGUCAUGUUUGUCGGGUCAACAUUGGCCUGAUAAAACUUGAGUUCCUCAGCAGCGCAGGCCGACUCAGCAUAAGCAACAUCUCCUUCUUCGCACUCCUGAGCUAUCUUCUGAUCUCCACUUAUCGUGAUUGUUCCUCUAGGGCCUGGCAUCUUGAGCUUGAGGUAGACAUAACACAGUCGGGCCAUGAAGCGGGCGUAAGCCGGUCGACCAAAAAGCGCAUGAUAAGGGCUCUUGAUCUUGACCACCUCGAACGUGAGAGACUCCCUCAUGUAAUUAGAUUUGGUGCCAAAGGCCAAUCUGAGUUUAAUCCGCCCAACAGGAUAUGUCGACUUACCUGGGACGAUGUCGUGGAAGACCGUGGAGGAGGGCAUCAAGUCGUCUUCAGAGAAAUUCAUUCUUCGGAAAGUGUCAUAGUAUAAGAUGUUGAUACUACUUCCACCGUCCAUGAGGACUUUGGAGAGGGUAUAGCCCCCAACCUGAGGUGCCACGACCAAUGCCAAGUUGCCAGGGUUAUCAACCCGGGGUGGGUGGUCCUCCCUACUCCAGAUAACAGGCUGCUCAGACCAGUUGAGAUACCUGGGAAGCGUCGGCUCAGCUAUGUUGAGGGCGCUCUGCUUAACCUUCUUGUCCCUCUUGCAAGCAUUAGUGGUGAACACGUGAUACUGCCUAUUGUUCGGCUGCUUGGGAUUUUUUUGGAAGCCAUUGCUGCCGUUCUGCUGCUGAGAGCUGUUUGGGUUAAGUUGCUGCUGAAAGCUACCCUGAGCAUUAUAUUGUUGGUUACCCUGGACCGGGUAUUGCCUAGUGUUGGGGUAUGACUCGCCCUGUGGGCCAGGGUUAGGAAAGCCACCAAACGAAUUCCCGUGUGAGCCGCCCGAACCAAAUUGAUCCGGGUGUCCACCACUACUCCCUCCUUGGUUUUUCUUGAGUGCCUUGGCACGAAACUCCUGCAUCACAAAAUAGUUUUCCCAAGAAUGAGUGGCUGGACCUUCUGUUGAGCUAUGUUGUGGGUAGUGGCCCUUGAGCAUCUCCUGAUAGUUACGUGGUCUUUUGCCACUGAAGCCCCGAUGCCCACUUUUCUUCUCACGCUGAUUCCUGGUCCCGGUGUUAGUAUUGGCGACGAAAUCACUGACACCUUCCUGCUCCCUUUUCUUCCCUUGGCCCCCAGGGUUAUUGUCGUUACGUCCCUGGGCCUGAGAAUGGCCUCUGGAUGACUCUCCCCUCCUGGCAUCGCUGACUUUGUCAUCGUCCUCUACGAGAUCUUUGGUGCCAUCUGACUCGGCAUAUCUAGUUAGGGUGUCCAUCAACUCGCCCAUAUCCUGCACUUUCCGCUUGAGUCGCCCAAGUUUCAACACCAAGGGCUGGAAGUGACAGUUUUUCUCCAAGAUCAGCACAACCUGAGCCGCCAUGAUACCAUCCGAUGAAAGGAUUAUCUCUGCAAUCCGCCGUGUCCAAUGAUGGGCCGACUCAUCUGAGCGCUAGACAUAGUGUUGUAAGUCGACAAUGGUCAUUUGAUGCUUGCAAGUUCCUCUGAAGUUCUUGACAAUACGUUCCUUCAACUCGGCCCAUGUAUUGAUGGAGUUAGGUGGCAAAUUCUUCAGCCAAGUGUGUGUCGUCCCUUCGAGCAUCACUGUAAAGUACUUGGCACACACCACAUCACUAACAUCGAGCAUGUCCAUCGCGAGCUCGUAACUCUCAACCCACGCUCCUGGCUCAAGGUCAGUCAUGUAGUUGGGAACCUUGCGCGGACCCUUAAAGUCCUUGGGCAUGUGCUCAUUGCGGAGGGGCGGGUGAUAAACAGGGAAUCCCUAUGUUCAUGCCUCGUGACUCGCCGUGCGUCGGGGGAGGCGGCACAUAAGCCUAAUAGCCUUGACCCGCCGCUGUUCCCGCCUCCGCCAGAUGGGCGGCUCGUGCUGCAUCCAGAAGGUCUUGGGCAUGUGUGCCAGGCAAUCCAGGCGAGUUGGUAUGCGGAUGUCGACGCUACUCACUGCUAGACACCAUGGGCGAGUCAUUACGGCGACUCCUGGUAUGACUUGUGUGAGGCGUAGAGUGCAGCCGAUCGCGACUAUAUGAGUACUACGCUUGUUGGACCACCUUCGUUUUCAACAUCUCGAUGGUGUCCCUUGCUUCCACCUCAGCUACAGAGUUUCCGUGAAUGGGUAGAGACUCUAAGUUGCGAGUCGCGGCCAGCACAUUGUCGACGGGGUUAGAAAAGUGACCCUGCGGCGUAUGGAAGCGUGGCGGCCGUGUCGGCAUCGGCCGAGGCGACUGUGGAUUGGGCGGCGGCUGAGCUGGCUCAACCUGCUGAGUAACUCGCCAUGGCGGGUUAGGUUCCAUCCCAGGGGUAUGUGGGUUGUCAAAGAGUCGGGUAGGGUUUAGAUCAGUCGGCAAAUGAUUAUGAUGCCUCCUCUGGUGAACCGCAUCCGAAGUGGGCUGUUGGCGUUCAAGUUGCCAUCCCUGAACCACAUCAAUAUAUUAACAUAAUCAAUCAUCAUGAAGAAGAGAAGGGUCCGACUACGGACGAAAAUAAACAAUAAAGGAAUGACGUCCAUCCUUCCUAUCCCAGGCUACCGGCCUGGAGCCCAUCCUAGAUCGAUGAAGAAGAAGAAGAAGAACAAACUCCAAAGCACAAUCAUCACGCUCACGUCAUAAUAUCACUUACAUGUACCUGCAACUGGUGUUGUAGUAAUCUGCGAGCCACAUGGGACUCAGCAAUCACAUUUCCAAAGGUAUCAAGACUAGCAAAGCUUAAUGGGUGAGGUAUGGUUAAGUGGUGAGGAUGCAACAAGCGACUAAGCAUUUAUUUGAGGUAGCUAACUUACGAGUACAAGAUUAAAAGAGGGGGAUGAUCUACGCAUAGUAGACGUGAACUAAUGAUGAUCAAAUGAAUGAUCCUGAACACCUACUUACGUCAGACAUAACCCCACCGUGUCCUCGAUCGGAGGAGGAGCUCACGAAAGAGACAGUCACGGUUACGCACUCAGUUGGCAAGUUUUAAUUAAGUUUACUUCAAGUAAUCUAGAACCGGGUGUUAAACAAGUUCCCAAGUUUCCACAUAACCACGGGCACGGCUUUCCAAAAGAUUUAACCUUGCAGGGGUGCUCCAACUAGUCCAUCACAAAUUACCACAAGCCGCAUAGAAAGCCUCGACCACAAAACUCGUGAUCUCCUCGGAUUCCUUAGUGGAAAACCUCAACUCUGAGAUAACCUAAACCAUCACCGGAAUCCCGAUGCACAAGAUAUUUCGUAAAAGGUAAAACAAGUCCAGCAAGGCCGCCCGACGUGUCGACGAACCCGAUAUGAGCCGCCUAUAUCGUUCUCAGGACACGACUGGAUGGGACUAGCUAUGAGUAAAACCAACCCGAUUUGUACCAACACUCAUGAGGAGCACUGGCCUGGGGGUUGAUUAAGUUCCUCGGGUUAAUUACUCCCUAUAUGGUUCAUUAGUUAUUAGGCAAAUAGUACCAAAGUUGGGCCUUGCGAGACUAGUUUUAGUCUAAGACAAAUUAUCAAGGGGGUCCCCAUAACAAUCCCGAUCGUGUUAGGAGCGCUCGAUUAUGGAAUAUAACACCAGUAGCCGAAACUAGGGCGGAAAAGGUGGAACAAAACACCAGGCUAAAAGGCCGAGCCUUCCACCUUUUACCAAGUAUAUAGGUGCAUUAAACUAAAUAGCAAUUAAUGUGGUGAUAUAACAAGGAACCCAUGUUAUCACAUGGAAGCAACUGUACAUGCAACUAGCAAUGCUAACACAUGGUUAAGCAAGUGGUAACAUAGCCAAUCAGUGGUUUGCUAGGUUGUAGAAGGUUGAAGGUUUCAUGGCAAUGUUGAGAGGCUAACAUUUAACAUGUGGUAGGCACCGAGACAUAGCGAAAGAAACGAGACAACUAGCAUGGCAUUGAUAGUAAUGGUAUCUAGGGAAAUGAUCAUCUUGCCUACGAUCCCGCUUGGAAGAAGAACGACUCCAUGAAGCAGACGAACCGACGUAGUCAAACGGAUCCUAACACUCCGACAUGCUUGCAGAACUCUAUCGAGACAAAGCAAACCAGAAACAAGAAUCAACAAAGAAUUUUCACCACGGCACAUGCACGAUAUGAUGCACACCCUAAUAUGAUGCAUGAUCGGUUGGAUUAUGCAACACAUGGCAUGGCAAAUCACAACAAUCAAGCACUACACAUUAAGUGAAGUUCAAUAUGCAAUGACUUGCAUAUUGACGAAACUCCACAUACGAAUUAUUUAGUUCCCUCCCGUUUAGGUACAAAGCUAUUUUUAAAUGUUGUUAACAUGGCAAGAGAUGAAGCACAAAUAAUCUACCUAUAUAGGCAUUUUAAAUGAGGUCGGAAACAACUUAUAGCAUCUCCGGAAUGACCCCAUGUGUUAAAUUAGAAUUUUGUCCAGAUCUGUCCUAAUCACAUUUUAUGUUUGUUAAACAGCAAAACAAGAUGGUUCACGUGAAACUACGCAUCAUUCUACUCGAUUUACAUAUAUGGCUCACCUCCAACGGAGUACGAUUAACUAGCUACGAAUUAAACCCUUUUAACAUGGCAUCUAUGCAAAACGAGGCAAACAUCAAGGUUACCAGUUUUAAUUAUGCAUGAGAGUUGGAAAAUACUAAUCUACGUGAAAUGCUAAUCAUUUACAUAUAUAACUUGACUUUAUCCGACGCUUGAUUUAAAAGCUACGCGCGUUUUAAAAUAGGCAUCUAAUAAAAAUUAUAGUUACUAGACGAAAGAAAAACUACGAGCGGUUGACACAGGCUGGGCUAGCCACUGCCAAUGACAGUGGGAACGCACGGGUGGUCAACUCUACAUCUUAGGACCAGUCAACAUGCACUGGGGCCCGGGUGUCAUUGUCUCACGAAAGCACGAAAAAGAUAAAUGGCCAGCAACAAAAUUGCCUAGCCAGGGAUUCAACCAGGGAACUCCUGCUUGCUAGCGUUGCGGUUGACCAGCUUGGCUAUGGCAUGAAUUGUAAAAAAUAUGCAGACUUAGCCAGAAGAAGCAUACCCUAUCGAUGUUUGUACAAAUCUGAAAUCGAGAAAUCUUACGGCUCGUUCUCUUGCUCUGAUUGGGGUUGCUCAUGCGGCGGCUCGACUUGGGUGUCGUCAUGGCCUGGCAGAGGAGGCACCGAUAAACUCCAACGGCGGCGUGAGGUGGGACUUGGCGUGGCGGGAGUCGCUGGAUCCAUCCAUGCAGGGGAUGGGGAGCUCGAUCUGGUGCUCAGGCACCGGGGCCAUGGCGGACAGGGGUUGCAGGGCUGGUCAGCUGACGAGGCUCUGGAAAAGGGUGCUAGACAUGCGGGCCCGACGCGGCGCCAGCUGCUGGCUCGAGGAGGAGGGCGCGGCUGGCUCAGGCGCUACACGGAGGAGCUCAAGGAGCUGCUCGUCUCGAGUGCGAGGUCCUGGUGGCGCCACCGGAGCUCAUGCCCGUGAGGUCACGCAGACCAGAUUUGCUGCGGGCGCCCGGAUGCGUCCGGCUGGAGCGACGGGGCUCUGCUACUGCACGAGCUGGAGAUGGAGGCCGCGUUCGACGAGAGAGAUGGAGGGAUUGGAUUGGCCGGCACAAAAUUGCGGGAGGUGGACGGAGUCUGCUUGUUGGUUGUGAGGGGAUCGGAGUUGGUUGGGGUAGGCUGGAUCGGGAGGAGAUCCCGAGGUGGGAGGAGCUUGGUCGGGUGGCGGCGGCUAGGAGGAUCGACUGGAUUGGAUAGGGCUAGGGUUAGGUUCGAAUACUUAAAUAGCUAUGGGGAUUUGAGGGUCGAUUUGGACCCUCCGAUUCGAUCGGACGGUCGAGAAUAAAUAGACUAGGGAGUUUAAAACAAUGAAAAACGUCCGACGUUGGACCGGCUAUAGUACCACUAUAGGUUUAAUGGUUCGGGUAUCAAACGAACUCCGAUCGUGAUGAAAUUUGACAGGCGGCCUACCUACACUAUAUUAAGACCACACGCCAACUUUCAACCCA